CAAUGGUAAUUACAGUAGGUCGACAAAACCGCAGCAAAUCAACAUUACAAAAUCAAUUAGUAACUAUUAAAGUCAGAACAUCAACAGCAUUAAAUACAUAUUCCGACUGCCCCAUCUCCCACUGGUUGGAAGGAGAACUGCCAAUAAAUGACUGCCGCGACAAGUCGUAGGAGGGAGUUCACGAAAGGCUUAACGCGUCGCGCUCGUUGGCAGAGGCAGGGUUCAUAUAUUCGGCCACAUGCUUUGCAACGUGUUUCCACUGCAAGCGCACUCUGUCGGACGACUGGGAGGAUGGGAUGGAUGCGUGGAAAAAGCACGUGUACCUCAAUCCAUUCUGCGGAUACGUGAGGGCCAUGCGCGGGCGGGCGUGGGUGGACCGUGUGUACGACCUGGCAUGGGGAGGAGCCCAGCCUUUGGAUUGGUGGACGUAGACAUUUAAGUGUUUUCGACCAAUUGUGUGCGUUUGAAAGCGCUUUUGUACGUCUAACUGUUGUUUUUUUUUAUGCGCAAACAUGUAUUCAGUGCUUGAUAGUGAUCCACGUUUUAAGGCAUGCUUUGGCUGUUGUGUAUGCGGACCGACUAUGUCGGGAAAAAGUGAAUUUGUGUUUAAUUUAAUUAAAAA